rnacentral:rRNA from 1 species
UACGUAGGGGCAAGCGUUAUCCGGAUUUACUGGGUGUAAAGGGAGCGCAGACGGAACUGCAAGUCUGAUGUGAAAGCCCGGGGCUCAACCGCGGGACUGCAUCGGAUACUGUAGAUCUUGAGUGCCGGAGGGGCAAGCGGAAUUCCUGGUGUAGCGGUGAAAUGCGUAGAUAUCAGGAGGAACACCGGCGGCGAAGGCGGCUUGCUGGACGGCAACUGACGUUGAGGCUCGAAAGCGUGGGGAGCAAACAGGAUUAGAUACCCCGGUAGU